GGAGAGAUGGCUCAGUGGUUAAGAGCACUGACUGCUCUUCCAGAGGUCCUGAGUUCAAUUCUCAGCAACUACA
rfam:Rattus norvegicus chromosome 10, whole genome shotgun sequence.